UGUCUACUUUACAGGCCAAUUGGCUAUUUUAAUGACACUUAAUGACUUCUAAAUGUACUGUACCCGACAAGAUUUAUAGUUGCUUAAUUGCUUUUUACUAGCUUGUCAAAUAUUUAUAUUUAUUCGUCUUUCUAGUAACUAAGCCGCUUUUGAGAACAAUGCAAGAACGUGGCUCUGGUACGAUCUGAGAGCAUGAAAUUGAUUGGAACACAUGAAACAGGAGCUCCAGAGAGAGGGGCUUUCCCGUGGAAGGAGUUUCAGACUGCACUGCACAUCCCUCCAUGCUGACUUGGAUCCCCCUGCCUCGGCACUGUACUCAGAGCCAAGUUAUGACCUCAGACCAUUCAGGCACUGACUCAACUUCCACAGCGGCAUUUGUGUUAACAGCUUAUGCUGAUAUGAGGAUGGCUCUUUCGAUCCUUAGCCUCUGUAAAUCCAAAGCAGUACAGUGAGCAGCUGUUUGGACACAAUUGAUGGCUUUACUCCCUCCACUCUCAGCUUCAUGGUUUGCUCCUGCAGCUCUUAAGCAGGUGCUUGGGCCUACAACACUCCUUUGCCUCCACCCCCUGCUGAAGAGACAACCAGGAAGAGGCAGGAUGGCCAGACCCCCCCUGUGGAACCACUCACAAAGACAGCCACCAAAUGCUUCACAAAUCAAACAAACAAAAUAACAAUGUGUAUGGCUCCUGCUUUAUCAGUAAUCCCCACCUUAAUACUCAAUUGACUAUUUCAGGUAAUGGAACCCCUGGUCUCCAUUACAGGCCCCAUCUUAUUGUCUUUAUAUAUGCUGCCCCGGCCUCCAUUUUUGAGAAGUACAAGGUCACUUUCCACUGUUUUGCGGACGAUAUUCAAAUUUAUUUACCACUGAAUGUAAAAAGAAAGGGCUCACUGCCGUCCCUGCAAGACUGUAUGAAGGACAUCAAAACGUGGAUGAACCUAAACUUCCUCAACCUAGUCUUGGUGUUGUAUUGGACAUCUAAAUUUGAUAAACAGAUAUCCGCCACUGUUAGAUCUUCCGGUUGAGAACUAUAGCCAAGGUAAAGGCCUAUCUCCCUCCUAAAGAUUUAGAGAGGGUAAUUAAUGCCUUCAUAACUUCCCGCCUUGACUAUUGUAACUCCUUAUAUGUGGGCUUAGACAAGUCAUUUAUUCAGCGCCUGCAGUUAGUCCAAAAUGCUGCUGCCCGCUCUGACAGGAAAGAAAAAGAGGAACCACAUCACACCUGUGUUGCACUCCCUCCACUGGCUUCCUGUUCAUUACAGGAGUGAUUUUGAAAUCUUACUUUUUACUUUUAAACGUCUUAAAGGAUUGGCUCCUCUUUAACAAGCGGAGCUUCUUCGCGUUCACACUCUAGCUAGAGUGCUGAGAUCUGCCAAUCUCUUCCUUGGAUGUACCCGGAAGCAGACUUAGCGAGGAGCGGGGAGGAGCCGGGAGGGCGCCG